rnacentral:rRNA from 1 species
AUGAACGCUGGCGGCGUGCCUAAUACCUGCCAGUCGAGCGAACGGACGAGAAGCUUGCUUCUCUGAUGUUAGCGGCGGACGGGUGAGUAACACGUGGAUAACCUACCUAUAAGACUGGGAUAACUUCGGGAAACCGGAGCUAAUACCGGAUGAUAUUUUGAACCGCAUGGUUCAAAAGUGAAAGACGGUCUUGCUGUCACUUAUAGAUGGAUCCGCGCUGCAUUAGCUAGUUGGUAAGGUAACGGCUUACCAAGGCAACGAUGCAUAGCCGACCUGAGAGGGUGAUCGGCCACACUGGAACUGAGACACGGUCCAGACUCCUACGGGAGGCAGCAGUAGGGAAUCUUCCGCAAUGGGCGAAAGCCUGGCGGAGCAACGCCGAGUGAGUGAUGAAGGUCUUCGGAUCGUAAAACUCUGUUAUUAGGGAAGAACAUAUGUGUAAGUAACUGUGCACAUCUUGACGGUACCUAAUCAGAAAGCCACGGCUAACUACGUG